rnacentral:rRNA from 1 species
AGGCUUAACACAUGCAAGUCGAGGGGCAGCAUGGUCUUAGCUUGCUAAGGCCGAUGGCGACCGGCGCACGGGUGAGUAACGCGUAUCCAACCUGCCUUACACUCUUGGACAGCCUUCUGAAAGGGAGAUUAAUACAAGAUGUUAUCAUGAGUAAGCAUUUUCGCAUGAUUAAAGGUUUACCGGUGUAAGAUGGGGAUGCGUUCCAUUAGAUAGUAGGCGGGGUAACGGCCCACCUAGUCUUCGAUGGAUAGGGGUUCUGAGAGGAAGGUCCCCCACAUUGGAACUGAGACACGGUCCAAACUCCUACGGGAGGCAGCAGUGAGGAAUAUUGGUCAAUGGACGAGAGUCUGAACCAGCCAAGUAGCGUGAAGGAUGAAGGUUCUAUGGAUUGUAAACUUCUUUUAUACGGGAAUAAACGAAUCCACGUGUGGAUUUUUGCAUGUACCGUAUGAAUAAGGAUCGGCUAACUCCGUGCCAGCAGCCGCGGUAAUACGGAGGAUCCGAGCGUUAUCCGGAUUUAUUGGGUUUAAAGGGAGCGUAGAUGGGUUGUUAAGUCAGUUGUGAAAGUUUGCGGCUCAACCGUAAAAUUGCAAUUGAUACUGGCAGUCUUGAGUACAGUUGAGGUAGGCGGAAUUCGUGGUGUAGCGGUGAAAUGCUUAGAUAUCACGAAGAACUCCGAUUGCGAAGGCAGCUUACUAACCUGUAACUGACAUUGAUGCUCGAAAGUGUGGGUAUCAAACAGGAUUAGAUACCCUGGUAGUCCACACGGUAAACGAUGAAUACUCGCUGUAGGCGAUAUACAGUCUGCGGCCAAGCGAAAGCAUUAAGUAUUCCACCUGGGGAGUACGCCGGCAACGGUGAAACUCAAAGGAAUUGACGGGGGCCCGCACAAGCGGAGGAACAUGUGGUUUAAUUCGAUGAUACGCGAGGAACCUUACCCGGGCUUAAAUUGCAACCGAAUAUGGCGGAAACGCUAUAGCUAGCAAUAGCGGUUGUGAAGGUGCUGCAUGGUUGUCGUCAGCUCGUGCCGUGAGGUGUCGGCUUAAGUGCCAUAACGAGCGCAACCCUUGCCGAUAGUUACUAACAGGUCAUGCUGAGGACUCUGUCGGGACUGCCAUCGUAAGAUGUGAGGAAGGUGGGGAUGACGUCAAAUCAGCACGGCCCUUACGUCCGGGGCUACACACGUGUUACAAUGGGGGGUACAGAGGGCUGCUACCACGCAAGUGGAUGCCAAUCCCAAAAACCUCUCUCAGUUCGGAUUGAAGUCUGCAACCCGACUUCAUGAAGCUGGAUUCGCUAGUAAUCGCGCAUCAGCCACGGCGCGGUGAAUACGUUCCCGGGCCUUGUACACACCGCCCGUCAAGCCAUGGGAGCCGGGGGUACCUGAAGUGCGUAACCGCAAGGAGCGCCCUAGGGUAAAACUGGUGACUGGGGCUAAG